AAACAGAGAUAUAUCAAUUCACAUGUAUUGAGGUGGGUUGGAGUGGAAGUUGAACUAAAUUCCACCCUAAUCCACAUCAACACAUGUGGAUUGAGGUGAAUUCGACA
rnacentral:pre_miRNA from 1 species